UACGGAAGGGGCGAGCGUUGUUCGGAAUCAUUGGGCGUAAAGGGCGCGUAGGUGGUCUUGUAUGUCUACCGUGAAAGCGUACGGCUCAACCGUAUUUUGUCGGUAGAAACUGCAGGACUGAGGCUGGGAGGGGCUGGCGGAAUUCCCUGUGUAGCGGUGAAAUGCGUAGAGAUGGGGGAGAACACUCGUGGCGAAGGCGGCCAGCUAGACCAGUUCUGACACUGAGGCGCGACAGCGUGGGGAGCAAACAGG
rnacentral:rRNA from 1 species